rnacentral:rRNA from 1 species
AAUAGAUACCCAGGUAGUCCAUGCCGUAAACGUUGGGCACUAGGUGUGGGGCUCAUUCCACGAGUUCCGUGCCGCAGCAAACGCAUUAAGUGCCCCGCCUGGGGAGUACGGCCGCAAGGCUAAAACUCAAAGGAAUUGACGGGGGCCCGCACAAGCGGCGGAGCAUGCGGAUUAAUUCGAUGCAACGCGAAGAACCUUACCAAGGCUUGACAUGCACGGGAAGCCACCAGAGAUGGUGGUCUCUUUGGACACUCGUGCACAGGUGGUGCAUGGUUGUCGUCAGCUCGUGUCGUGAGAUGUUGGGUUAAGUCCCGCAACGAGCGCAACCCUCGUCCCAUGUUGCCAGCGGGUUAUGCCGGGGACUCAUGGGAGACUGCCGGGGUCAACUCGGAGGAAGGUGGGGAUGACGUCAAAUCAUCAUGCCCCUUAUGUCUUGGGCUUCACGCAUGCUACAAUGGCCGGUACAAAGGGCUGCGAUACCGUAAGGUGGAGCGAAUCCCAAAAAGCCGGUCUCAGUUCGGAUUGGGGUCG